AUAUAUUGUGAUUGACACAGCAACGAUAAUGAAAUGCGAGUAAUCCUGCACUGUCAACAUGCUUUAGAUGGAUUUCCUUGUAUUCGGGGGAUGUCUGGCCUUAUGGGAGGAGGAAAUCUAAUCUAACAUUCAGAAGACCAGUACCUGCUCCCUGAUGUCUAGAAGGAAGUUAGACUCUUGGAUAAUGUGAUUAUAGGGCAGUGGUGUUUACUGCUGUGGAAUCCUCAGGAUAUUCCAACUCUUUGAAAGAUGGGUCUCUUAUGUGCUCAAAGGAUGGAGUUAACACCCUUUAAUGAAUUCUGUGCAGGGAGAUUAGAUGCCCUAGUGGGUAAUUGGUGUUGGUGGGGAAUGGGCAAAGUAUAGCUGGGUCAGGGCACCUCUAUCCCCACCAGGAUCCAGCCUGCUAAACAUUCAUUUUUGAAUUGGCUUGCUGGAGGUCAUGCUUACAUUUGACUUCCAUGAAUCUUUCACACUUGAUACCUCUUGCACAAUGCCACUUACUAAAUGUUAUCUCAUUUAAUCUUCUCAAUUACCCUGCUUUGUAGGUUACCAUCUUUGCAUUUUCAGGUGAGAAGACAAAGGCUGUGUGAGGUUACAUCCUGGCCAAGGCUUCAGAGUGAAGGAAUCAGGAUUUGAACUGAGUCCAUACUCAGUGAAGUAUGCCUCAUUAUUUUUCACUUCAAGCAAAGAGCCAAUGGAACACAGAGUGCUGUAUUAACCGUGUUUCUGAUGUUUUGACAUCUGGUGCCUUGCUGACCCUGGAGAGACCAUGCCUCCGGGGCCAGCCAGUUCCUGCAGACAGUGAACAGCUGGCCUGUAAGUGAGCCUUUCAUACACAAACCAAGUCCGGAGCCCACAGGCCCAGCUACCCACCUGGGACGGUAUUCCUCUAUCCUAGUCAUCCCAGGGCCAGGUACUGAAAUCCCAGAACCUGCUGAAAUUAUUCAAACUAGCCAAUCCUAAACCUGUUUAACCUGUCUCACCGGUUACUUCCUAUAGAAACAACAAUAAAGGCUCUUGUCCACAUUUUCCC
rnacentral:lncRNA from 12 species